rnacentral:rRNA from 1 species
CCCAGACUCCUACGGGAGGCAGCAGUGGGGAAUAUUGCACAAUGGGGGAAACCCUGAUGCAGCGACGCCGCGUGAGUGAAGAAGUAAUUCGUUAUGUAAAGCUCUAUCAGCAGGGAAGAAAAUGACGGUACCUGAGUAGGAAGCCCCGGCUAACUACGUGCCAGCAGCCGCGGUAAUACGUAGGGGGCAAGCGUUAUCCGGAUUUACUGGGUGUAAAGGGGGCGCAGACGGCGAUGCAAGCCAGGAGUGAAAGCCCGGGGCCCAACCCCGGGACUGCUCUUGGAACUGCGUGGCUGGAGUGCAGGAGGGGCAGGCGGAAUUCCUGGUGUAGCGGUGAAAUGCGUAGAUAUUAGGAGGAACACCAGUGGCGAAGGCGGCCUGCUGGACGACAACUGACGGUGAGGCGCGAAAGCGUGGGGAGCAAACAGGAUUAGAUACCCGUGUA